ACUCCUGCGGGAGGCAGCAGUGGGGAAUAUUGCACAAUGGGCGCAAGCCUGAUGCAGCCAUGCCGCGUGUAUGAAGAAGGCCUUCGGGUUGUAAAGUACUUUCAGCGGGGAGGAAGGCGAUAAGGUUAAUAACCUUGUUGAUUGACGUUACCCGCAGAAGAAGCACCGGCUAACUCCGUGCCAGCAGCCGCGGUAAUACGGAGGGUGCAAGCGUUAAUCGGAAUUACUGGGCGUAAAGCGCACGCAGGCGGUCUGUCAAGUCGGAUGUGAAAUCCCCGGGCUCAACCUGGGAACUGCAUUCGAAACUGGCAGGCUAGAGUCUUGUAGAGGGGGGUAGAAUUCCAGGUGUAGCGGUGAAAUGCGUAGAGAUCUGGAGGAAUACCGGUGGCGAAGGCGGCCCCCUGGACAAAGACUGACGCUCAGGUGCGAAAGCGUGGGGAGCAAACAGGAUUAGAUACCCCUGUAGUCCCAU
rnacentral:rRNA from 1 species